AUAUUUUUGUAGUUUAGAAACGUGAUGAUUGGGUGCUCACACUCUUCUGUGACAUGUGUAUCCCUCACCAUCCUGUUACGACAUCAGCACAUUACCCUGCUGAUG